rnacentral:sRNA from 1 species
GGAAGAAGGGUGAUCUGGCUGCAAUAUCUGUCUCCCUGUUGAUCACCAGGCUUGAUUUGGCACAUCUGGCUGGCUAGGCGGGUGUCCCCUUCCUCCAUCAAUUCUCCAUGUGCAUCUCCAUGUCCCACAGCUGUGCACUCAGUUGAAGAGGCUGACCAUAGAGUAACAUUCCUUGGUCAAGGGCAUAUGACUAGUUGUGCUUCUCUGCUGGAACCUCCAAACAAUAAAAAAGUAUAUUUCAUUAAUUUGUGGCACUUAGAUAUAUGUGUGCAUUGAGGAAU